UGGGGAAUAUUGCACAAUGGAGGGAACUCUGAUGCAGCGACGCCGCGUGAACGAAGAAGGCUUUCGAGUCGUAAAGUUCUUUUAUAUGGGAAGAUAAUGACGGUACCAUAAGAAAAAGCCCCGGCUAACUACGUGCCAGCAGCCGCGGUAAUACGUAGGGGGCUAGCGUUGUCCGGAAUCACUGGGCGUAAAGGGUUCGCAGGCGGAAAUGCAAGUCAGGUGUAAAAGGCAGUAGCUUAACUACUGUAAGCAUUUGAAACUGCAUAUCUUGAGAAGAGUAGAGGUAAGUGGAAUUUUUAGUGUAGCGGUGAAAUGCGUAGAUAUUAAACAGAAUACCGGUGGCGAAGGCGACUUACUGGGCUCAUUCUGACGCUGAGGAACGAAAGCGUGGGUAGCAAACAGG
rnacentral:rRNA from 1 species